rnacentral:rRNA from 1 species
AUUGAACGCUGGCGGCAGGCCUAACACAUGCAAGUCGAACGAGUGGCGGACGGGUGAGUAAUGUCUGGGAAACUGCCUGAUGGAGGGGGAUAACUACUGGAAACGGUAGCUAAUACCGCAUACCAUCAGAUGUGCCCAGAUGGGAUUAGCUUGUUGGUGGGGUAACGGCUCACCAAGGCGACGAUCCCUAGCUGGUCUGAGAGGAUGACCAGCAAAACGGGAGUGUGGACACGGCCCAGACCCCUACGGGAGGCAGCAGUGGGGAAUAUUGCACAAUGGGCGAAAGCCUGAUGCAGCGAUGCGGCGUGUAUGAAGAAGGCUUUCGGUUUGUAAAGUACUUUCAGCGGGGAGGCGUUACCCGCAGAAGAAGCACCGGCUAACUCCGUGCCAGCAGCCGCGGUAAUUC